AUUGAACGCUGGCGGCAGGCUUAACACAUGCAAGUCGAGCGAGCGGCGGACGGGUGAGUAAUGUCUGGGAAACUGCCUGAUGGAGGGGGAUAACUACUGGAAACGGUAGCUAAUACCGCAUACCAUCAGAUGUGCCCAGAUGGGAUUAGCUAGUAGGUGGGGUAAUGGCUCACCAAGGCGACGAUCCCUAGCUGGUCUGAUAGGAUGACCAUCCACCAUGGACCUUAGACACGGUCCCUACUCCUUCGAAAGGCAGCCGUGGGGAAUAUUGCACAAUGGGCGCAAGCCUUAUUCAGCCAUGCCGCGUGUGUGGAGAAGUCCUUCGGGUUGUAGAGCACUUUCAGCGAGGAGGCUUUACUCGCAGAAGAAGCACCGGCUAACUCCGUGCCAGCAGCCGCGGUAAUUC
rnacentral:rRNA from 1 species